rnacentral:rRNA from 1 species
GAUGAACGCUAGCGGCAGGCUUAAUACAUGCAAGUCGAGGGGUAGCAAGAUUGUAGCAAUACAAUUGUUGACGACCGGCAAACGGGUGCGGAACACGUACACAACCUUCCUACAAGUGGGGAAUAGCCCAGAGAAAUUUGGAUUAAUACCCCGUAACAUAGCGAUGUGGCAUCACAUUGCUAUUAUAGCUUCGGCGCUUGUUGAUUGGUGUGCGGCUGAUUAGAUAGUUGGCGGGGUAACGGCCCACCAAGUCUACGAUCAGUAGCUGAUGUGAGAGCAUGAUCAGCCACACGGGCACUGAGACACGGGCCCGACUCCUACGGGAGGCAGCAGUAAGGAAUAUUGGACAAUGGACGCAAGUCUGAUCCAGCCAUGCCGCGUGAAGGAUUAAGGUCCUCUGGAUUGUAAACUUCUUUUAUAAGGGACGAAAAAAGGUCUUUCUAGAUCGUCUGACGGUACCUUAUGAAUAAGCACCGGCUAACUCCGUGCCAGCAGCCGCGGUAAGAC